UACGUAGGGUGCAAGCGUUGUCCGGAAUUAUUGGGCGUAAAGAGCUCGUAGGCGGUUUGUCGCGUCGGCUGUGAAAGUCCGGGGCUCAACUCCGGAUCUGCGGUGGGUACGGGCAGACUAGAGUGAUGUAGGGGAGACUGGAAUUCUUGGUGUAGCGGUGAAAUGCGCAGAUAUCAGGAGGAACACCGAUGGCGAAGGCAGGUCUCUGGGCAUUAACUGACGCUGAGGAGCGAAAGCAUGGGGAGCGAACAGG
rnacentral:rRNA from 1 species